rnacentral:rRNA from 1 species
UACGGAGGGUGCAAGCGUUGCUCGGAAUCACUGGGCGUAAAGCGACCGCAGGCGGCCUGACAAGUCGGAUGUGAAAGCCCUGGGCUCAACUCAGGAAUUGCAUUCGAAACUGGCAGGCUCGAGUACGGGAGAGGGGGGUGGAAUUCCACGUGUAGCAGUGAAAUGCGUAGAGAUGUGGAGGAACACCGAUGGCGAAGGCAGCCCCCUGGGCUAACACUGACGCUCAGGCACGAAAGCGUGGGGAGCAAACAGG